AUACCUUCAGGGUUCGCCCGUGAGAGGAAAGCAGGUCAGAGGGAAGUAACAGGAAGUGGAGAAGACAAUAAAAAUUCUCCUAGAAGUAACAGUCAAUCCUCAGCUCUGGACCAGCGUUCCAGUGGAAGAAUGUGGGACUAGGUUACUAGAAUGUAGAAGUUUUUCAAAGAAGUCAGAAAUUUGGGUUUUAUAAGAAAUUUCCCAAUUUUAAUACAUUGUGUGGCCCAUCAAUUUGCAACCUCUGCCUUAAAUGGAAACAUGCUUAUAUGCCAACAUUGGUCUAUUUUUGAGUAAAAAGAAGAGAAAAGCAUAACUACAUGAAAAUACAUGUUAAGAGUAGCAAAAGUUUUUCCAUAAUCUUAAGUCCAUUUAAGAUACUAAACAGAGAAAGCAGAACCUCAGCAAUUACACAAGAUGUCCAUAAUAAGCUUUAUUAUUAUAGCUUGAAUAUGACAUUCAUAGGAUUAUGUAUAUUUGUUUAUGGUUUCAGGCUUAUAGACAACUUUGUAAUACUUAAAAAAUUAAAAAUUGUAUGUAAUCAUGAAAGGCUUUGAAUAAAUAGCCAGAACUUACACUUCAACAAGUUUAUUUAUAAAUUCUAGAAAAUCCAACAGUGGUAGAGUGUUUUUAUGUUCACCCAAAUAGUGAUUAACCUAAGUAUAACUUAUCAAAACCACAAAACCUUUGUUUGGACAUCCUCAUUAAAAUGAAGCAAUUCAAGGUAGAGUUGCCCUUAUCAAGCAAGAUUGAAACAAAACAACACAAGACUGUCCUAGAAAGAAUUACUAACUUUGAUUCUUACUUUAAAUUAAGAAAGUAUUUCAGGGGACCGGCUCAGCGGCACAGCAGUUAAGUUUGCACGUUCCGCUUCGGCAGCCCAGGGUUCGCCAGUUCAGAUCCCGGGUGUGGGCCUACGUACUACUUGGCAAGCCAUGCUGUGGUAGGCAUCCCACAUAUAAAGUAGAGGAAGAUGGGCACGGAUGUUAGCUCAGGGCCAGUCUUCCUCAGCAAAAAGAGGAGGAUUGGCAGCAGAUGUUAGCUCAGGGCUAAACUUCCCCCCCAAAAAAAAAAAAUUGAGUAUUUCCCUGAGGCAACAUAUUCCUUGCUUCAAAUAGCAUGCUUUGGACUCAUUCUUGCACUGAAGUUAUUUCCCUCACCUGGCUCUACGAAACCGGAGCCCAAACAAAUAUUCAACUGAACAAUAUGGACUCCAACACCGCCAAGAUACCGAUGAAACAGAAACACACACAAAAUUAAGACAAUCUUCAACAACAAACUAAAUAUUUAAAAAGUCAUAAACUUCAGAUGACUCAUGGAAAGAAACUUACUAUUUUCUUAUAAAUUUUGACUCUUUUAACAAAGUCAAGCUUACAGCAGGUUAACCAGCAUUGAAUACACAACCAUCCCCAUGUCUGCUAUUGCCCUGUUUUGUUCCUAUAAAAGUGAGCCCCCACAGACAACUUGGUUACCAAAAAAUGCUGCUUUUCCUCAGAAAUCUUUAAAAUAUCUUUUAGGAAGUACAAUCUAUGUGCUCUGGGUGCUUUCAGAACUGAAUUAUGAGAAACGCCUUCCUGCCCCAAGGUGCCGUGAAAAAUCUUAUCUGAAGCAUUUCCAAGGCAGUCAUCAAACUGACUACUUAAUUCAGUAGAUACAGCAAAUAAAUUCCUGCAGGGAAAAAACCCACAUCAGUAAAAAGGGUAGAAAAAUUAGUGCAUUUCAUUAGACAGUCCUUCAACAAGCAAGGCACUGAUUAUUUUCAGCAUCUGAAUUAUGAUCAGAAAUUGGAAUUAGUAAGGUCUAAGAGAGAAAAUUCCAGUACUUAAAAAGAAGCAUUUGCUGAGUCCCGAGGAGCAGAGCUGCAUAACCCUAGAGCUAGAGUUGUGAGAGGAGGAGAGGCCUGCACACAAGUUCUGGAGUGAAGCUCCAGGCGGACUGAAGGUCCUAUAGACAUCCCCCGUCAUCCUCUCACAGUGUGGCCACUUUAGUGUAGGAAGUGCAUGGCGUUAUCUGCAUUAAGAGGGCCUGCGAUAGCUCCCAAGAGUCCUCUGCCACUCCAGGUAACAUGGUAGAAUAUGCAAAUUUUCCUUUGAUUCCAAAAGGGCACCAGAAUUGCAAGAGAAAAUAAGAAAGAACAAGAGCGAGAGCAAGAGAGAGAAAGAGAAAGAGACAGAGAGACAGUGAAGGAGAGAGAGAGAAUACCUGAAAGGCUGCUGAGACAAGGAAAGGAAUAGAGGAAGUAAACUAACCACUGGAGAUGGAUGGAAACGUGUUAUCCAAGCACGUCUGGGAGAAAAGUUGUGAUUAAGAGAAGCUAGUAAGAAAAAAGAUUCAGCAGCUAAUGCCAACAAGAAUGAAGAGCCAGGAUGAAACACCCUCUCUGAUGAAGCAACGCUUCAUAACCUCCCUCUAAACUUAGGGCAGCCCUACAGAUAAAAGGAAAGGAGGAAAACUCUGGAUGACUUUGAGAACAUCUGAAUUAGCUAUGAGAAACCUGAACUAAGUGAGCAAUUACUCAAUUGAUCAAGCUUAUAUUUGCAUCAGUGGAAUUGGAACCCUAGGAAUGAUUAACUUCAGUUAUUUUUACAAUAGAGAAGAAUUAUAUUUCUUAUAUUCUUGAGUUUUGUGGAUUAAAAAUUUACAUUGAUGCAAUUAUUAUGAAUACUCGGUAAACAUUUUAGUCUAUUCUUUCAGUCUUUUUCCCAUUCAAAUAUUAUAUUUAAUGCUUUUGGCUUUGGGUUGGGGUGGUUCACAAAAAUCCAGCUCAUACUGUCAAGUGGUUUCACUUGCUAUAAUAAUAACAGUAACAAAGAUGAUGAAUAAUAACACAUAUAGCAGUUGCUCUAUGUCAGGAAAUUUGCUAAGCAUUUUAAAUAUACUAAUUAAUUUAAGCUUCACAGCUACCUAAUGAAGAAGCUUCCCUUAUCAUCCCAUCUACCAGAUGAAAAGACCAAGGCACAGAGAGUAAGACGUACACCAGGAAGUGGCAAGAUCAGGACCCAGAAGCCUUUUCCCCUAAAGCUGUGAGCUCAUUGAAGGCCAGGACCAUGUGUGGUUCAUCAUUGUACUCCUAAUUGUCGAUAGUAACACAGCACCUGCUACUCCGGCUCUGAUCACUGUCAUAUCUAAGCUCGUCAAGUGACAUUGCUGUACCAAGAGACAAAGGUGAGGGUUGGGCACAAGAGAAUACACAAGAGUUUUGGAAAGCAGAAGUGAAGCAGGAGCAAUUCUGUUCUGAAGAUUUCCUCCUCCCAGUGCUCCAAGUCCUGGGGCAGAUGAGUAUGUGGCUCCACAGUGAAGACUGCCAGUUCCUUCCAUGGGUCACCCACAACUUUGAGAUUGGUGAAAAAGAGACGAGGACUCCAGCUUGCUUUCGUGGGCCCAGUUCAUCCUUGCUCGAACACCCCUCACCUUCAUGUCCUGCUUUUCUUCCUGACUUUCACACCAGAAGACCUACAGUGACUUCAGCUCCGCUACCAAAAAGCAGCCUCCAUGCCCUUUUCACCAGCUCCCACCACUGCCUUCAGUUUCAUCCCCAAUAAUAAAUCCCAUCUUUCACGUGAGGAAUGGUGGUUCUGCUUCUCUUUUGAACUGUAACCGAUCAGCCAAAAUUA
rnacentral:lncRNA from 1 species